rnacentral:rRNA from 1 species
CUGGCUCAGGAUGAACGCUAGCGACAGGCUUAACACAUGCAAGUCGAGGGGCAGCACGGGAGUAGCAAUACAACUGGUGGCGACCGGCGCACGGGUGAGUAACGCGUAUGCAACCUACCUAUCAGAGGGGAAUAACCCGGCGAAAGUCGGACUAAUACCGCAUAAAACAGGGGCACCGCAUGGUGAUAUUUGUUAAAGAAAUUCGCUGAUAGAUGGGCAUGCGUUCCAUUAGGUAGUUGGUGAGGUAACGGCUCACCAAGCCGACGAUGGAUAGGGGAACUGAGAGGUUGGUCCCCCACACUGGUACUGAGACACGGACCAGACUCCUACGGGAGGCAGCAGUGAGGAAUAUUGGUCAAUGGGCGGGAGCCUGAACCAGCCAAGUCGCGUGAAGGAAAGAAGGAUCUAUGGUUCGUAAACUUCUUUUGCAGGGGAAUAAAGUGCAGGACGUGUCCUGUUUUGUAUGUACCCUGAGAAUAAGGAUCGGCUAACUCCGUGCCAGCAGCUGC